rnacentral:rRNA from 1 species
AUUGAACGCUGGCGGCAGGCCUAACACAUGCAAGUCGAACGGACCUUUCGGGGUUAGUGGCGGACGGGUGAGUAACACGUGGGAACGUGCCUUUAGGUUCGGAAUAGCUCCUGGAAACGGGUGGUAAUGCCGAAUGUGCCCUUCGGGGGAAAGAUUUAUCGCCUUUAGAGCGGCCCGCGUCUGAUUAGCUAGUUGGUGAGGUAAUGGCUCACCAAGGCGACGAUCAGUAGCUGGUCUGAGAGGAUGACCAGCCACAUUGGGACUGAGACACGGCCCAAACUCCUACGGGAGGCAGCAGUGGGGAAUCUUGCGCAAUGGGCAAAAGCCUGACGCAGCCAUGCCGCGUGGAUGAUGAAGGUCUUAGGAUUGUAAAAUCCUUUCACCGGUGAAGAUAAUGACUGUAGCCGGAGAAGAAGCCCCGGCUAACUUCGUGCCAGCCGCCGCGGUAAGAC